UUUUAUAGUUUUAUUGUCCUCUCAAAAAAAAACAUUAAAACGCUGCAUGGAUCAUUUGUUUAUGUCUAUAUUUCCAUCAUUUCUUGUCCUUUUUCAAAACGGAAGCUCCAUGAAAAAAACACAAAUCAAACGAACCCUUUCGAAGUCACAGUGGAAGCACAAAAUGCGUUUUUUUUUUUAAUAAAUAUAACUGCCGCGCGAGGUUCCACCGAACGAGAGGGAGGAGUGAAUCUGAAGCAGCGAGGGGGCGAGCGACGGCCGUUUGAAUCAAGCAAGCGAGCGAGCGACUUUGUGUGACUUUGAGGAUGAACGGAAAACUAAAUUUAGCGCAAGCAAUUGUGCUUUUUGAUCAAUUUGAGGAAGAGGGUGGUCCAAAUUCGUCAUCAUCGUCUUCUUCGGAAGAGUCCUCGAGUGAAGAUAGUGACGGAUUUGAACACGUGGGUGACGCCAUCGACGAGCAGAGAUUAGGGAUGGAGCACAUAUUCAGCUACGUGACAAUGAAAGUAAAGUGAAAUGAAAAUGGAAGGGUGGAAAGAGGACCGACACCCCAUGGAAGUGUGGGCUGUGAUGUAGCCCUGUGUCUAAUUCCAGGACGAAACUGCUUUUC